rnacentral:rRNA from 1 species
AGGAUAAACGCUGGCGGCGUGCCUAACACAUGCAAGUCGAACGCGCUUUCGGGCUUCGGUGCGAGAGCGAGUGGCGGACGGGUGAGUAACACAUGGGUACCUACCUUGGAGUGAGGGAUACCGGCGAGAAAUCGCCGACAAUACCGCAUAGGCUUCUUCACAAGGGAAGCAAAGUGACGCGAGUCACGCUGUGAGAUGGGCCUGUGGCCGAUUAGCUAGUUGGGGGGUAACGGCUUCCCAAGGCGACGAUCGGUAGCUGGUCUGAGAGGACGAUCAGCCACACUGGGAUUGAGAACGGCCCAGACUCCUACGGGGGGCAGCAGUGAGGAAUUUUCGGCAAUGGACGAAAGUCUGACCGAGCGACGCCGCGUGGAGGAUGACGCCUUUCGGGGUGUAAACUCCUUUUCUGCGGGAAGAUAAUGACGGUACCGCAGGAAUAAGCACCGGCUAACUACGUGCCAGCAGCCGC